rnacentral:rRNA from 1 species
AUUGAACGCUGGCGGCAGGCUUAACACAUGCGAGUCGAGCGGGGUGAUGGUGCUUGCACUAUCACUUAGCGGCGGACGGGUGAGUAAUGCUUAGGAAUCUGCCUAUUAGUGGGGGACAACAUCUCGAAAGGGAUGCUAAUACCGCAUACGUCCUACGGGAGAAAGCAGGGGAUCACUUGUGACCUUGCGCUAAUAGAUGAGCCUAAGUCGGAUUAGCUAGUUGGUGGGGUAAAGGCCUACCAAGGCGACGAUCUGUAGCGGGUCUGAGAGGAUGAUCCGCCACACUGGGACUGAGACACGGCCCAGACUCCUACGGGAGGCAGCAGUGGGGAAUAUUGGACAAUGGGGGGAACCCUGAUCCAGCCAUGCCGCGUGUGUGAAGAAGGCCUUAUGGUUGUAAAGCACUUUAAGCGAGGAGGAGGCUCUUUUGGUUAAUACCCAAGAUGAGUGGACGUUACUCGCAAAAUAAGCACCGGCUAACUCUGUGCCAGCCGCCGCGGUAA